AUAAAAAUGGCAGUGGUUGACUGGGGGUCGAAUGCUGGCAAGGUUCUUCCGGUUACCUGACUUCGUGGUAAAGAUCUGCAUACGACGGAUUUAUUGGAGGUGGCUGUUUGGUAGGUGGCAGCGGGCAACGUGGAGGGAGUUUUAUCCGGCUGGUUGGAGAUCACUACGUCAUAAAGCAUUGCUGCUCUGCCUGCUUUUACAGCUGCGGUCUGGAUUGCCUGUCCUGCAGUUGCUGCUGCUUUGCCUCUUUGCCUCUGCUCUUGUCUUCUCUCCUUUUUGUAUUGAAUGUGGGGAUUGGUAGCCUUUUAUUCCUUGCUUAACUGCGAGGAUUAACUGUUUAAAGUGAGGGAUUUUAUUUUGUGUGUUUUAAGAUUCUUUGGGGUUGGGAUGCCAUUAGGGAGGAAGGGAACUUUGUGGUGGCAUGUUGUAUUGUGUGUAUGCAUGGGAGUUGUAGUGUUUUGUUUCAGGAUGCCAUCUGCUGUUUGACUGUUUAACCUCCUACCCUGUGUGGACCAGCCCCGAGGUUUUAUUUUGUCGUGUGGAUGGUGUUUUAUUAAUUUAUUUGUAAUAAAAGAUUGUAAGUGGAGUCACGUCUCCUGCUGCCGUGUAUAA